UGGGGAAUCUUCCGCAAUGGACGAAAGUCUGACGGAGCGACGCCGCGUGAGUGAUGAAGGCCCUUGGGUCGUAAAGCUCUGUCAUUGGGGACGAACGAUUACAUCAGGAAAUGGGUGUGAAGUGACGGUACCCAAGAAGGAAGCCACGGCUAACUACGUGCCAGCAGCCGCGGUAAUACGUAGGUGGCGAGCGUUGUCCGGAAUUAUUGGGCGUAAAGCGCGCGCAGGUGGGAUCUUAAGUCUGUUUUGAAAGUUCGGAGCUUAACUCCGUGAUGGGAUGGAAACUGGGAUUCUUGAGUAUCGGAGAGGAAAGCGGAAUUCCCCGUGUAGCGGUGAAAUGCGUAGAUAUGGGGAGGAACACCAGUGGCGAAGGCGGCUUUCUGGACGAUGUCUGACACUGAGGCGCGAAAACUAGGGGAGCGAACG
rnacentral:rRNA from 1 species